GUCCUUUCGUGGUUCAUGAGCAUGAUGAUUGGCUGUUCAUACAUGUGUGUGAGAUGUGCUAUCCUGGAACCGUGUUACUACGUAGGCACAUUACCUGUCUGACC